CACGUAGGCACCAAGCGUUGUCCGGAUUUAUUGGGCGUAAAGAGCUCGUAGGCGGUUGAGUAAGUCGGGUGUGAAAACUCUGGGCUUAACCCAGAGCCGCCACCCGAUACUGCUCUGACUUGAGUUCGGUAGGGGAGCAGGGAAUUCCUAGUGUAGCGGUGAAAUGCGCAGAUAUUAGGAGGAACACCGGUGGCGAAGGCGCUGCUCUGGGCCGAUACUGACGCUGAGGAGCGAAAGCGUGGGUAGCAAACAGGAUUAGAUACCCUGGUAGUCCACGCCGUAAACGUUGGGCACUAGGUGUGGGUCUCAACCAACGAGAUCCGCGCCGUCGCUAACGCAUUAAGUGCCCCGCCUGGGGAGUACGGCGGCAACGCUAAA
rnacentral:rRNA from 1 species